rnacentral:rRNA from 1 species
GACGAACGCUGGCGGCGUGCUUAACACAUGCAAGUCGAACGGAAAGGCCCUGCUUUUGUGGGGUGCUCGAGUGGCGAACGGGUGAGUAACACGUGAGUAACCUGCCCUUGACUUUGGGAUAACUUCAGGAAACUGGGGCUAAUACCGGAUAGGAGCUCCUGCUGCAUGGUGGGGGUUGGAAAGUUUCGGUGGUUGGGGAUGGACUCGCGGCUUAUCAGCUUGUUGGUGGGGUAGUGGCUUACCAAGGCUUUGACGGGUAGCCGGCCUGAGGGGGUGACCGGCCACACUGGGACUGAGAUACGGCCCAGACUCCUAUGGGAGGCAGCAGUGGGGAAUAUUGCACAAUGGGCGGAAGCCUGAUGCAGCAACGCCGCGUGCGGGAUGAAGGCCUUCGGGUUGUAAACCGCUUUCGCCUGUGACGAAGCGUGAGUGACGGUAAUGGGUAAAGAAGCACCGGCUAACUACGUG